GUGGGCCUGAAAGGCAGAGCGGAAGCCCAGGACCAAGGGGCCUCCACUCAGAAUCCAGAGAGUGUGGCGAAUACUUAGAGCCUGGAGGGCAGGGCCAUUGCCUAAAUGGUCUCAGAGAACAGGAUUAUCAUCAAGCCUGGAGGGCUAAUGCAAUGUGUUCUAUUGACUUGCUUGGUGUCUGUUAUCCCUUUUUUCCCUCCAAUUUUUCCUGUUCAUAUUGGAAAUGCCUAGCUUGUGCCUGUUCCACCAUCAUACUUUGGAAGCAGAUAACUUGUAUUCUAGAUUUCACAGAUGAAGAGGAAUUUUUGGAUUUUGGACUUGGAGUUGAGAAAAUAACUCCAGCUACUAUCAGUGAAGUAAUUGAGUGUUUCUGUAAUGGCUCCCAUAAGGACUGAUAGACCAUACCAAUGAACUUGACUGUUUCAAAGGCAGUGUCUUCUAAGUUCUUGACUGUGCUGUAAUCACACAAGAUGAAGGCUUCUUGUGCCAAUAAGAAACUCACCUCUUAAAGAAUGGACAUUCAUCUUUGGGUGCAAGAUUCAUGCACUCCUGGACCUGAGAGUAGAAAGAUGAGUUCACAGGUGAGGGGCCUUGGAACAGAGAAAUAACUAGACCUCAUAGAGCUUCUGGAGAACUGACUCUCUGAGCUUCAGCUCCUGCGUCUGGAAAGGAGAGCUUGGACAAGAUGACAUCAUCAUUUCUUCCAGCCCUAGCAUACUAUAAUUUUAUAUUCUACUCAUCCAUGAGUAAUUAUUCUCUCUGAAUUAAUUGCCCAGAAAAAAUUAAUAGAGUUCUUAACAUACUAAAUACUCUUUUCUUUAAUAUCUUUCAGUAAAAAAUAGAAAAUUGAGACAUACACGACUGACUUUCAUAUACAUCUAUGCGUAAUUUGAAAACUUUGUUCUAAUCAAGCUUAACAUGUCACUCUGAGUUGAUGUUCAUAUAUUAAAUGGUUUUUAGCCCAGAUAAGAUAGAAGGUUCACGUUUUAAACUUUAACCAUUUCACUGAUGACUGGAAAGUGCCUGCUCUGUGUUGGGCUAAUUCGAUCUAAAAAUUUGAAGGUCAUAUUUCACUCAGAAGUCUCAGGUUAAAAAAAAAAAUCAGGUGGGAUAGUCAAAAAGACUAUUUUACCUCCUUUCCCAUGGGAAUCUUUCCAAGAUUAGUCUGACUAAGCUGAUGUAUUGACAAACUUGCAAUUCCUCUGUUUUCCAUGAUCCAAUGCCCAAAGUCAAGGGGGGAAUUUUAACAUGAGAAAGGGGCACACAACUAUCCAUAUUAGAAUUUCAGUCCCUAAAUUAAAGGCUGGAUCAGGAGAUUCAGAAAUUUCUCCUGAAUUAGCAGUUUCUCAAGGAGUGAAAUGUCUACAGCUCCUAAAAUUGAAAAUAAGAAUGAGAAUUGCCCCCUACACAGGAACUUGAGGCCUACUCUGCAGCAUCUGGUUAAAAAAGAAAAAAUCCUUGAAAUGUAGUUCUCUCUUGCUUCUGUCCCUCCUCUUGACCAUAUGAAGACAAAUGUUCCUCAAGAGCGACAUUUUGUCCUUUUUAGUGCAAGUAAGCUGAGUAGAGCAAUUUAAGGGAUAUCAGAAACCUGCAAAACCAAGACCACUGGUUUGCUUUUCGAGGUAUCCCCGAACUCCAAUAGAGCAUUGUUGUUUCAUUAUUUUCAAUGAACAGUUAGGACCAGGUAUACAUCAAGACACAGAGUACCCAGGUGGCACAAACGGUUAAGCACUCGACUACUAGCUGAAAGGUUGGUGGUUCAAACACACCCAGAUACUUCUCAGAAGACAGGCCUGGGGAUGUGCUUCCAUAAGGUCACAGCCUUGAAAACCCUAUGGAGCAGUUCUACUCUGCACACAUGGGGUAGCCAUGAGCUGGAAUUCUCUCUAGGGAAAUUAAUAGCAACAAUAAAUUAUAUAAAAGA